UACGUAGGGUGCGAGCGUUAAUCGGAAUUACUGGGCGUAAAGCGUGCGCAGGCGGUUUUGUAAGUCAGAUGUGAAAUCCCCGGGCUUAACCUGGGAACUGCGUUUGAAACUACAAGGCUAGAGUGUAGCAGAGGGGGGUGGAAUUCCACGUGUAGCAGUGAAAUGCGUAGAGAUGUGGAGGAACACCGAUGGCGAAGGCAGCCCCCUGGGCUAACACUGACGCUGAUGCACGAAAGCGUGGGGAGCAAACAGG
rnacentral:rRNA from 1 species